rnacentral:rRNA from 1 species
AAGCGUUCAUGACCAGACUUGAGCCGGUUGAUCAUCCAGUGUUCUCACUGGUGCACUCUGCCGGUUCAGGCCAGCAUCAGUUCGUUCCGGGGGAUAAAGGCUUUGGGAAUGUAGCUCCUCGGAGUGUUAUAGCCCAUUGUGUAAUACCCUGGGAUGGACUGAGGUUCGCGCUCUGCAAGGAUGCUGGCGUAAUGGUCAUCAACGA